rnacentral:lncRNA from 1 species
GUGGAGUGAUUGAUUGAAACCCUAUUUGAUUUUGAUGAGCUCAAAGCAUUUGAGUAUAUCUUAUGUUUUACUAAUGAAUUCAAUUGAGUGUUUCAGUGAAAAUCUUGUCUAAGUGUCUCUAGAUUUGGUUCAAGAUAGUUUGGAUAAGUUAAGAAGUCAGUUUGAACCAAAAUCUGAGACUCGAGUCGACUCCGGGAUAUUACGAGUCGACUCCAAGCGUAUCAGAAUCACUGGCACGGGUUCGAGUCGACUCCGGACCAUUACGAGUCGACUCCGACUGAGAACAGACAGACGAACAGAAAGCAUCAACUCAAAACCUGUCAGCGAGUCGACUCCUGAAGUGCGCGAGUCGACUCCGAUGUUUACCGAGUCGACUCCGGAGUAGUAUGAGUCGACUCCAAGGAGUUACAGACAGAAAAGUCAGAGAGCGAAUUUCGACCCUGAGAUUCGAGUCGACUCCUGUGGAACGCGAGUCGACUCCGAUGGUUGGCAGGUCGACUCCAAAGAAAGUGAGAGUCGACUCUCAGUGGAACUCAAGGCAAAAGUCAGAGAACCGUUUUCGGACUCUGAGAUUCGAGUCGACUCCCGCAAUACGCGAGUCGACUCCG